CCCCUGAAGUUACUUUGAUAUUGACAUAGUCACUGCAGGUUUUAAAAAUUUUUGUUUGCAUGGCAUAGCUUUUCCUGUCCUUUUGACUUAUUGGUGUCCAUAUCUAAAGUGCAUUUCUCAUGAGCAGUUUAGCGUUGGGUUUUGCUGUCCUACCCUCCCUGGCAAUCUCUGCUCUUAACUGGGGCUGUCUGACCACUUGCUCCGGUGUGGCUGUGGCUGCGUGGAGGCCACGCCUGCUGUCCUGCUCUGUUCCCAUUGGUCUCAGUGUGCAGUUGCCACGCCCACCUUCCUGUUCUCUGCUCCCUUUGGUCUCACUAUGCAGAGGCCACGCCUGCCAUCCUGUUCUCUGCUCCCAUUGGUCUCACUGUGUAGAGGCCACGCCCGCCGUCCUGCUCUCUGCUCCCGCUGCUGUCACCGGCUCUCCCUUUCCCAUUUCCUCUUCCUUCCUUGGAUUCUGUUUGAUGAUCCUGUUUGAUUGCAGUUGUUGGCUUAUGAGCCAGAAUUUUGUUUUGUUGUUUUAGUGGUUGCUUCAGGGUUCACAGUAAACAUCUUUAACUCACACGGUGAACCUUUUUGAGUGGGGCUGCACCUCCACCAGGGCAGAUGCUCCGCAGCGCACGUCACCCACCCUCUCCCCGCCGGGGCCAUCGCCGCAGGGCGGUUCCCUGGUGACUGCACUCCGCGCGGGUGCCAUUGAUGUUCAAAGCAGACUCUUCAUAGCUGCUCAGGUGUCCACAAACGAUCGACAGAUAAGCCCAGCGUGGCCCUCCACACCAGGGAACAGGAUUCCACCAGGAAAAGAAUGAGGCCCGCACGGCUGCAGGGGGUGAGCCUGGAGAAUGGCGAUGGGGGACAGAAGCCAGACACACAGCCCCGACUGUGGAGAGCGUUUGGAACCAGACGGGAGUGAGGGUCACUCAACAUCGCAAAUGGACUAAAUGCUACCGAAUUGUACGCUUUAAAACGGUUCAUUUUAUGUGAUGUGAAUUUCAGCUCAAUAAAGAAAAAAGAUUUAAAAUGUGUCUUGAGGAGCCACGAG
rnacentral:lncRNA from 10 species